ACUCCUACGGGAGGCAGCAGUGGGGAAUAUUGCACAAUGGGCGCAAGCCUGAUGCAGCAACGCCGUGUGAGUGAAGUAAGGUUUUCGGAUACGUAAAACUCUGUCCUAAGGGAAGAAACAAAUGACGGUACCUUAGGAGGAACGCCCCGGCUAACUACGUGCCAGCAGCCGCGGUAAUACGGUAGGGGCAAGCGUUAUCCGGAAUCACGUGGGCGUAAAGGGUGCGUAGGCGGCUUAGCAAGCCAGGGGUGAAAGGCAUUGGCUCAACCAAUGUAAGCCUUUGGAACUGUUAAGCUUGAGUGCAGGAGAGGUAAGUGGAAUUCCUAGUGUAGAGGUGAAAUUCGUAGAUAUUAGGAGGAACACCAGUGGCGAAGGCGACUUACUGGACUGUAACUGACGCUGAUGCACGAAAGCGUGGGUAGCGAACAGGAUUAGAUACCCUGGUAGCACAG
rnacentral:rRNA from 1 species